UCACUCUGGUUUCCCUUCAAAACGUAUAAAUCUUUCGCCUUUUACUAAAGAUUUCCGUGGAGGGGAACACUCAAAUGAGUCUUUUAUAUUUUUGUAUAGCUCUGCUUCGGCGGAGUA
rfam:Papilio machaon contig15473, whole genome shotgun sequence.